rnacentral:ncRNA from 1 species
AUCAUUUCAGGUUCCGCCAACGCGGAUGAAAAGGGAACCCCGUGUGAAUCGGGGACGGGCCCGCCGCUGUAAUCCCCCCCGGCCUGGCGCCGGGGAACGGUUUUGUCAGCUUUUAUAUGCCACUGCCCCGGAAAAGACGGGGCGGGAAGGCUGCCGGCAAAACGGGAAAGUCAGAAGACCUGCCUGAAAGGA